AGCGAACGCUGGCGGCAGGCCUAACACAUGCAAGUCGAACGAACUCUUCGGAGUUAGUGGCGGACGGGUGAGUAACACGUGGGAACGUGCCUUUAGGUUCGGAAUAACUCAGGGAAGCUUGUGCUAAUACCGAAUGUGCCCUUCGGGGGAAAGAUUUAUCGCCUUUAGAGCGGCCCGCGUCUGAUUAGCUAGUUGGUGAGGUAAAGGCUCACCAAGGCGACGAUCAGUAGCUGGUCUGAGAGGAUGAUCAGCCACAUUGGGACUGAGACACGGCCCAAACUCCUACGGGAGGCAGCAGUGGGGAAUCUUGCGCAAUGGGCGAAAGCCUGACGCAGCCAUGCCGCGUGAAUGAUGAAGGUCUUAGGAUUGUAAAAUUCUUUCACCGGGGACGAUAAUGACGGUACCCGGAGAAGAAGCCCCGGCUAACUUCGUG
rnacentral:rRNA from 1 species